AUUGAACGCUGGCGGCAUGCCUUACACAUGCAAGUCGAACGGUAGAGGGGGCAACCUCUCGAGAGUGGCGAACGGGUGAGUAAAGCAUCGGAACGUGCCCAGUAGUGGGGGAUAGCCCGGCGAAAGCCGGAUUAAUACCGCAUGAGACCUACGGGUGAAAGGGGGGGAUCGCAAGACCUCUCGCUAUUGGAGCGGCCGAUGUCAGAUUAGGUAGUUGGUGGGGUAAAGGCCUACCAAGCCGACGAUCUGUAGCUGGUCUGAGAGGACGACCAGCCAACCUGGGACUGAGACACGGCCCAGACUCCUACGGGAGGCAGCAGUGGGGAAUUUUGGACAAGGGGCGAAAGCCUGUUCCAGCCAUGCCGCGUGCGGGAAGAAGGCCUUCGGGUUGUAAACCGCUUUUGUCAGGGAAGAAAUCCUUUGAGUUAAUACCUCGGGGGGAUGACGGUACCUGAAGAAUAAGCACCGGCUAACUACGUGCCAGCAGCCGCCGUAA
rnacentral:rRNA from 1 species